ACUCGUGGCUGAGUGUGCUAUGUGGGAGACACAAGAGACAGAGCGGCUAGAAUGGCAUAGGCUGCUGUGGCCAGGACAACGUGAAAGGAAGGUAAGGGGGGCUUUGCUUCUGGCUUUACGGUGUCUUGGCUUUAGCAGCCGUUGCGCCAUGUGCUAUUGCUGCUGCCUAGAGGCCAACCUAAGUCUCAUAUGGGGGCCCCCAGCCGACAACAUGGUCCCUAAGGCCAAAUUUCAAAUACCCCUGCCUACGGGCACAGCCCUCCCCCAUACCCGCGGCCUCCCCGGAGCCCCAGCCACUCAGGAAUUGGCCCUGCAGGGGUUCCCCCAGGCCCGGUCGUUCCCACAGACGUCCCAGGGCGCGUUCCCGCGGGCCCCGCGGUCGCUAGGCUGCAGGCUGGGGCCCUGGCCCUCUCAGCGGGGCUGGCAGAGAGCGGUGCAGACGGCAGCGCAUGGCGGCAGAGGCUAUGUAGAUGGUUUUGCGAUGUGGUUGAUGGCCGCCCAGGACUGACUCUGGGCUGUAGAGCCAGCCCCCUCUUGGCCUUGGAGCUGGGGAAGAAUCUGAACCAGAGUGGCACUGCCUGAGAGGAGCAGCUGGCCGGAGCCAAGGGAUCUGCAGCCUGGAGGCAAAUGCUUGCCGUUGUCUUAAAGUCCUAGAGAGCACUAGAAUAGUGUCAACUAUAACGGACUUUAGAAACCUAAGGUAGCUGAGGACAGUGCCACUUCAAUGUACCCCUCUACAUGACAUCACUUUCCUAGCCAUCACCGCUCUACUGGUAAUGGAGGCCACCCUUCUGCUGUGGUAUCAUGUUAUCAGUAUCUUUUGGACUCAGCCUCAGACACUGAUAAGGACGACAGUUGUGCCCUUACUUAGCCUCCCAACAGCAGCCCAACACCAGCUUCUCUUUAGAAAAUACUCCACAAGGCAGUAAGUCGGCAAGCCUGGUUUCAUAGCGCUUGCUGUCUCUUUCAAAACCAGCCAAUUCGGUGCCUCCUGUUGGAGCCUGCUUUUUCUUAAAAACUGGCCUCAGAAUUUCAACCCGGGUCAUCAUUUUAAUUGGGCACAGUAACUCCCUUUGCUGUUAAGUAUAAUAAAAUGCAGUUUCUGGCAUAGGUGGCAUU